UUUUUUGUGUAGUCUAUACGACAUAUCUAUUCCGGUUUUGAUUGAAUAUAAAUCAUUGAUUUUUCUAUUUUUGAUCUAUUUUUGAAUAUAAAUCUCGAUUUUGAUCUUCUGUUUAUCAUGCAAAGGAUCUGUUUAUAAUGCUCUGCCACUAUUAAAUUCUGUCCAGCGAGGUCUUCAUCUUCCGGCGAGCGAUUCCAAAUUCUGUCCAGCGCGAGGUCUUCAUCUUCCGGCGAGCGAUUCCAAAUCCCUAUCCAGGGCGAGGUCUUGAACUUCCGGCGAGCGCGAGGUAGGUUUUUAUUGUUCUUAAAUUUUAUUUUUUAAAACUAAUCUCUACUCUAAAAAUCAAUUUUGUUAUCUAUCUAUGAUAUCAAUUACCCCCUUAAAACCAUCCUUAUUCUCAACUUCAACCAUCUUAAAAUUAAAAGUUUACCACCGUUCUGCACUCGUCUUUUUUUUAAAUUAUUUAUUUGAUAAAAUAUCAAUUGAUAUCUAUUUAUUCUACAUGUGCUUAAUUUCCAGAUUGAUAUCUAUCUACUCUGAAAUAUUUCCAGAUGCGUUUAUUUGAACAAUCUGCAAAACAAGUAGAAAUAAAAAUUAAACUGUGAUUAAUCUGCAAAACAAGUAGAAAUUAAAUUAAAUUUCCAGAUACUCUUAAGUGUUUGAACUGUGAUCGGUGAAUAAUAUAUGGCCAACAUGGAAUUACCCAAUUCCAAAGCAUCUGAAUAUUUAAAUGUAAAAGCUGCCAACAUGGAAUUACCCAUAUCCGAAGCACCUGAAUAUUUCAAUUUAGAAACUGCCAACCAGGAAAUACUUAAUACCAAUCCAUCUGAUAUUGUUCAUGAGCUAUAUAUGUAUGGCAUAAAAGCAUCCAGUUGUUCAGUUUAGGAAAUCAUGUAUUUGAAUCUGUUUUUUGUAUACUACCUUUUUAUGAGUUCUUAUGAGCACAUGUAUUUUUUCUUUUUUUCUCAACUAUGUGAUCUCAGUAAGAACUAAUUGAAAUUUAAAUUUCAUGAACUUCUCGUUGUAUGUUGUAUAUAUAUGUUUAUUUGCAGGUUUAAUUUUAUGUUAUAUAUGUUUCAAUUAUCAUUAAAAGCAAAUAGGUUAUGAAAAAAUUUAAAAAAAUUGAAAUAAUUAAUUCGAUUAUUGGCUAAUUAAUUCAAACUGUAAUUUGAUAUAGUUUAUUCCAAACUCACAGGUGUUGGUGCUAAAGAAGCUGAUACAAACUAAACUCGAUCUUCAAUAUUUCACCAAAAAUUCGAAGUACGUAAUUUCAGAUUUCUUAUUUCAAUUAUCAUUUUAGUUUAUUAAUCUGUUUUUUUUAAAUGCAUCACUUAAUUAUUGUUUUGUUAAUAUUUUGAAUGUAUAAUUUAAAUAAAUUGUUUGAUAUAGCAUAAUGAGAAGGAGAGAAAAACAGAUACUGCGUAGACCUCCAUUUCCGGUACGUGUUCCGGAAGUGCGCCUACAAGUUCCUGUUGUACCUGCAACAAUACUUGUACCUGUUGUACCUCCAUUUUAGUCAGAUCCAGUGUAUGUUCCGCGGGCGGUAGGUCUAUCGAGCUCUCAUCAUCCGUCAAUCGUAAUAAGAGUGAAGCAACCAUCUAGGAGGCCCCCGAUGAUGGAUCAUCCACUAAGGUUCUUUGGUCUCCGACGAGACAAAAAAACACCGACUACGGGAGGUGUGAAAUACCCACCCGAUUUGCAAUAUUCCUGUGGGUCGAAUUGUUCAGACGUGAAUGCCACCAUGCAAGGUCUUUCCUUUGACUACGAAACCGAAUCUUCCCCGGUUUCUGAAGUUUUGGUUACGUCCAACUAUCCGAGCACUAUAGUAAUUUCUAACGACGAUGAAGUCGGCGAAAGUAGCGAUGGGAUGAAUGUCAAUGAUAACUAUAGUUAGUUGAACAAUAAUUUAGUAAACUUAUGUGAAAU
rnacentral:lncRNA from 1 species